CCUACGGGUGGCAGCAGUGGGGAAUAUUGCACAAUGGGGGAAACCCUGAUGCAGCGACGCCGCGUGAGUGAAGAAGUAUUUCGGUAUGUAAAGCUCUAUCAGCAGGGAAGAAAAUGAAGGUACCUGAUCAAGAAGCCCAGGCCAACUACGUGCCAGCAGCCGCCGUAAUACGUAGGGGGGAAGCGUUAUCCGGAUUUACCGGGGGUAAAGGGAGCGUAGACGGCAGCACAAAUCAGGAGUGAAAUGCCGGGGCUUAACCCCGGAACUGCAUUGGAAACUGUUUAGCUAGAGUGCAGGAGAGGUAAGUGGAAUUCCUAGUGUAGCGGUGAAAUGCGUAGAUAUUAGGAGGAACACCAGUGGCGAAGGCGGCUUACUGGACUGUAACUGACGUUGAGGCUCGAAAGCGUGGGGAGCAAACAGGAUUAGAUACCCGGGUAGUC
rnacentral:rRNA from 1 species